rnacentral:ncRNA from 1 species
GACCUGAAGAUCCUAUGAAGCUUUAAUUAAUUAAACACCUCCACCCCCCCCAACUAAACCACCAAAGGUUAACAUUUUCACAUGAGUUAACAAUUUUGGUUGGAGUGACCUCAGGGAACAAAAAUCCUCUGAAUAAAGUCUAUGCUAGUCUAUAUUAGUCAAAACACACUAUCACAAAAGAAUGGAUAAAUGGAAUAAGUUAUCCUAGGCAUAACAAUCUAGUUUAGAGUUCAUACUGAUGAUAGGGUUUAUAACCUUGAUGUUGGAUCAGCACAUACCCAUGGUGUAACUGCUACUAUUAGACAUUCAUUUGUUCAGUGAUUAAAGUCCUACAUGAUCUAAGUUCAGACUGGAGCAGUCCAGGUUGGUUUCUUUC